GACGUAGGGCGCGAGCGUUGUCCGGAUUUAUUGGGUUUAAAGGGUGCGUAGGCGGCCCUGUAAGUCAGUGCUGAAAUAUCCCAGCUUAACUGGGAGGGUGGCAUUGAUACUGCGGGGCUAGAGUACAGAUGAGGUAGGCGGAAUUGACGGUGUAGCGGUGAAAUGCUUAGAUAUCGUCAAGAACACCUAUAGCGAAGGCAGCUUACUAGGCUGUAACUGACGCUGAGGCACGAAAGUGUGGGGAGCGAACAGG
rnacentral:rRNA from 1 species